rnacentral:rRNA from 1 species
GACGAACGCUGGCGGCGUGCCUAAUACAUGCAAGUCGAACGCAUUUUCUUUCACCGUAGCUUGCUACACCGACAGAAAAUGAGUGGCGAACGGGUGAGUAACACUUGGUUAACCUGCCCAUCAGCGGGGGAUAACACUUGCAAACAGGUGCUAAUACCGCAUAAUUCCAUUUACUGCAUUGUAGAUGGAUGAAAGGCGCUUUUGCGUCACUGAUGGAUGGACCCGCGGUGCAUUAGAUAGUUGGUGGGGUAACGGCCUACCAAGGCUACGAUGCAUAGCCGGCCUGAGAGGGUGGUCCGCCACACUGGGACUUAGACACGGCCCAGACUCCCACGGGGAGCAGCAGGAGGGAAACUUCCGCAAUGGACGGAAGUCUGAACGAGCAAAGGCGCGUGAGUGAAGAAGGUUUUCGGAUCCUAAAACUCUGUUGUUAGAAAAGAACAAGGAGGAGAGUGGAAAGUGCAUCCCUUGACGGUAUCUAACCAGAAAGCCACGGCUAACUACGUG